UCAAAUAUAAAAAUCUAAGAAUGGGAUCUUUUCAUUUCUUAGUUGUUCAGAGUCAAAGAAUCUGAUUACUUUUUCCUUACACGUUAACAAAACAUUGUAACAUGUAGUUAUUUAGUUAUAUUGCAGAGUAUAUGGAAUGGUAAAAAUCCCAGUUAAUCAAGAGGUCAACAAAUUAUUUAAAAAACUUAAAAUUUCCCCAAAACCUAUUUGAAUUAUGCUUUAUUAUAUUGGGAGUUUUGGGUGGUUUUUUUUAAUAUCACUUUACCCCAUUCCCCAAAAUGUCCUCAUAAAGGUUUAAUUUACAAGUGCAACUUAUCCAAAAAGUGAUCAGGUUUUUUUUUUUCAUCAAGUCUAACCUUAUUCUUCAUAUUCUCUCCCAUAUAAUUUCUCAUGUAUCUUUUAACUUCUCUUGAAUUCCACUUUAUAUGUGUAAGCACAUAUAGGACAGUCACUUCUAACCUUAAUCUUACAUCAGCUUUUUUUUUAACUUAUGAUUAGUAAUGGCAAGUGUAUUUCAUUUAUUAAAUUUACAAACACUA
rnacentral:lncRNA from 1 species